UAAAUCUAUACACGCAGACACACAAACUAGGGUUUCUCUCAUCUCUCAUUUGUUGGUCCGCCGCUCAUCCUCUCAUCCUGCUCUGGCGAUUGCUAUAUGGCGACUUCAUCAGGCCUCUCUCUCGGAUCUCGCCAGAUCUCUCACCAGAUCGAUGAAGACAAAGGCGAUCGGAGGAGACUAGGGUUCCAGCGAAGGUAAAGCCAUUAGAGGAUGAACCACAACGAUUCCGUCUGUCGUUGUUCUUCUUUUGAGUGUACGAAGCUUCCAUAAGAAGAACCCAUGGAUAAAUCUGAUGAACUUAUGGUGCGAUUUAAAAAGCCGCUGCCACUCGGUUUCUAUUCAGUUUGACUCUGAUUGUGCAUCAGAUCUACUUGGAUUUACACUGUUGAUUAGCGUGGUUGCGAUUAAAAGGCACAUACUUUGUCAAUCCAUUAAGAUUUUGACUUGCAUUGAAUUUUGAAAUCAAGCAAUAUCCACCGUAGGAAUAAGGGUGGACAAAAAAAGUUUCGAUGUGUACGCGACUCUUUUGCCACCUAGCCAUGGUGUCCAACUUUGUUAUAGAUGCUACUGACCCUAUGAAGGAUGAAAUGCGAGGAAGCCAAAAUAGCUGCUUUCGACCAGAGAAUUUGUAUAAAGCUAAGGAGAAGGUGCAAAUGAAAUGCUUUACUUUUCCUUAUCCCGGAAGAGUUGUUUGGGCGAUUGGCUUAACUGCAGACAUGGGGAUGUUGUUGACAUUGGGAAAUUGCUGGAGGUUCAUAAAUAUUACUCUGAAGAUGUUGAUGUGAAGAUGGAAAGGCCUGCUGAGGAGUCUGCUCUUGAAGUAAUUCAAGUUACUGGUGCCUAAUGAGGGUUUUUAUUUGAUUUCUAUCUUUGACUUUCAUUAAUUUUAUGCUCUUCUGCGCAUAAAAGUGACUUUCUUUUCCAAAAAAGUGACCAAAUUUCUGUUCCAGUUAGUGAUUUUUUUUUCCAAAAAAAGUGACCAAAUUUCUGUUUAUGAGAUUGUCUUUUGUAAUGUGAAUUGGUAAAAUUUGUUUUGUGGGUUCAUUUAAUUGUUUAGUGAAUAAUGUGGACUAGACAACUAACUGCGGUUUUAGAUGAUAUUCUUAAUAACUUAACGUGUGUUUCGUGACAGGUAACACACUCUGUGGUGCGUACGCGCCAGGUGCUUUUGGUCAAUCAACCGCCUCCAGCUGUAGGGUUGUGAGGCUACCAUUAUUACCUGGUUCAUACAUACCCACCAGAUGCUUAUCUAUACCAUUAUUAGUUGUUAUUAGGUUAAUAGGUUUCUAUUAGAGUUGAUUUGGUGUAUUUUGAUUGAUUGAGAUCAGAUGAUGGAAUAUAUAGUUUUCAUGAAAUUUUUGGUGAAUUUGAAACUGAACAUAUGAAGAAUUGUUUGUUGUGAUCCGAAUAUUUCAGUUUUAUAUGUUUUUUUGGAUUUUGUGUUUGUGGUUGUUGCUUAAAGUGUCCUUUUCUUUUAUAUGCAUUUAAACAACUUAUCUGUUUAUCGUGUGGAUGAAGAAUCGUGCUUUAUUUGCUGAUUUUGGGUGAAAUAAGUUGUUUUUAAUAAGUAGUUUGAGAUUUACGAAUUAGCAUUCAUGUUUCUGCAGUCAGAACACUGUUGUGGCAGACCUAAAAGAACGCUUGCUACCACCAAAACCCGCCUCAGCUACGAACCACAGAGAGACAUCUUAUAGGCCAUCUGCAUCUGGCCGCCAACCGUUUCAAGGGGUUGAUGUUUUAGGGCUCAAAAAACGUGGUCAAGGUCUUCGUUCAUGGAUUCGUGUUGACGCUGCAACUGGUGAUUCCCAAAUUAUUGAGGUCGAUAAAUUCACGAUAAUGCGUCGUUGUGAUCUUCCUGCACGAGAUCUUCGCCUGCUUGAUCCGUUAUUUGUUUAUCUGUCAACAAUAUUGGGAAGAGAGAAGUUUAUUGUUGUAAAUUUGGAGCAAAUUCGGUGCAUUAUAACAGCCGAUGAAGUGUUACUUUUGAAUUCUCUUGAUAGUUAUGUAUUGCAGUAUGUGGUGGGUUGCAACGGCAAUUAAAGGCGGCCGGGGGGUGGUGAGGUUUGGCGGUCAGAAGGGGGUGAGUUGAAAACGUCCCCUGAUUACUUGCCGUUUGAGUUUAGGGCUCUUGAAGUUGCACUUGAGGCCGCUUGUACAUUUUUGGAUACACAGCCAUGGAAAAUACAAGGUUGUCUUAUGAGUUUAAAUUUGUUUCAUUGGAUUGUUUGGGACUGUGUGGUGCUUAUUGGAGAGGCCAAUGUGGAUGUUCUUGAUACAGAUGGGGACCCACCACUUGUCUUUGCGCUUGCAGCUGGAUCCCCCGAAUGUGUUCGGGCUCUUCUUAGUAGAUAUGAUAAUAUCAGAUCUCGGUUAAGGGAUGGGUUUGGCCCAUCCGUUGCUCAUGUCUGCGCGUAUCAUGGCCAACCUGAUUGUAUGCGUGAUUGCUAUUGGCUGGUGCUGAUCCAAAUGCAGUUGAUGAUGAAGGUGAAUCUAUACUGCAUAGAGCCGUGACAAAAAAGUACAGAGUGUGCUCAUGUUAUAUUGGAACAUGCGGGCUGCAAAUCUAUGGGAAUUUCAAACUCAAAGAAUCUAACUAGGUCAGGUGGCGGUACCGGCCCAUUUUUUAAUAAAUUGGUGGAUUCAGCUGAUGUGCUAUACAACUUUGGGACCAGUCAUGAAACCUUUUCCCCUUUAUGCCUGCAAUUGUUCAUUGGAACUUCUGGCCUUGGGAGUUUUGCAAAGGUUUAGUCAUUGUAGGUGGCAAAGGGGUGGGUUGGACAAGCACAAGAUGAGUCACAGGGUUGAUUUGCAGCUUAAUUUCUGCCAUAACUGCUAAAGUUAGUGAGAUUUUGGUCCAUCUUCAAACAUGUAGACAUGUUGCAUAUCUUCACUUAAUUUUUUUGGUUUUGGUAGAAAAGCUAAGCAAAGUCUAGAACAAUUGUUAUCCAACUGGCCCGAGUUGUAUUGUAUUGGUUUUGGCAAUUUUGGCAAUUGCCUACAUAAUGUAUUGAUUUUAUGUAUUUUAUCUUAAUAAUUGCCAACGCCCAACAUAAUGUAUUGAUUUUUUUUUUUU